UACGUAGGGGGCAAGCGUUGUCCGGAUUCAUUGGGCGUAAAGAGCGUGUAGGCGGCCAGGUAGGUCGGUUGUGAAAACUGGAGGCUCAACCUUCAGAGGUCGACCGAAACCAUCUGGCUAGAGUCCGGGAGAGGAGAGUGGAAUUCCUGGUGUAGCGGUGAAAUGCGCAGAUAUCGAGGAAGAACACCCGUGGCGGAAAGCGGCAUCGUCGUGGAACGGUACUGGACGCUGAAGACGCGAAAGCCGUGGGAGCGAACAGG
rnacentral:rRNA from 1 species